rnacentral:tRNA from 1 species
GGGGAGAUAGCUUAAUUGGGAAGUGCUUGCCUAGCAAGCAAGAGGAUCUGAGCUCGGUCCUCUCCA